CCUGGCCCCCCCAAGAACGUGCAGGUGAAGGAGGUUUGGGGGUUCAACGCCCUGGUGGAGUGGGAGCCCCCCGAGGAUGACGGCAACGCCGAGGUCACGGGGUACACCGUCAUGAAGGCCGACAAGAGGACCAUGGAGUGGUUCACGGUGUACGAGCACAACCGGCCCACUCGCUGCACGGUGUCCGAGCUGGUGAUGGGCAACGAGUACCUGUUCAAGGUGUUCAGCGAGAACCUGUGCGGGCUCAGCGGCACCCCGGGCUCUCCAGCAACACUGCCCUCAUCCCCAAAGCUGAGCUGCGUCUGAAGCCCCCCAGUACCAGGAGCACGAUUUCCGCUCAGCCCCCAGUUCCUCACCCCCUCGUGGAUCGCAGCGCCGUGGCCGGAUAUUCCACCGCCCUCAACUGCGCUGU